UUGAAAGCAAGCUGACCUUGGCAGGGUGU
rnacentral:piRNA from 1 species